GGCGAGGCUGGAGUCUCGCCCGGACAUGGUGUUGCACCGGCGUGCUAGAGUCCUUGGAGAGCAGCCGCUGGCCUUAUUCACUGGCUGCGGCCCCGUGGCCGAGCCGGUCACCAGGCAAGGGACAAGC
ensembl:snoRNA